rnacentral:vault_RNA from 12 species
GGGCUGGCCUUAGCUCAGCGGUUCCUUCGAUCGCAUGUCAACAACUUCUCUGUGUAGUCAGAGCGGUUCGAUACCCACCCGCGGGCGCUCUCCAGCCCUUUU